rnacentral:misc_RNA from 1 species
UAGUAUUAUAGGCCAGUCUGCAGGC